GCUCUUACCUGGCAGGGAAGAUGCUGUGAUCAUGAAGAUGGUUUUCCUAGGGCAAGGCUUAUCCAUUACACUCUGGUUGUGCUGACCCCUGAGAUUUUCCCAAUGCAGGAAACUUGACUAUACAAUUUGUGGUAGUGGGGGACUACAUUCAAUAUUCCCCUU